GACUUCUCACUGAGUUUCUUUCUGUCUGUUGGUGGAAGCUUAUGGAUUCAUAAGAGCAGAGAAAAUUCACAGAACUAGCAUUACUUUUGCUUUCUGUCUUUACAGGAGUAUAUUUGGCUGUUUUGUGAGAUAUUG
rnacentral:snoRNA from 1 species